GGGCCGGACGCCGUGUUGGUUGCAGGCAGCGGACUCAUAAUCCGUCGACGAAAGUCCACCGUGGGUUCGAAUCCCACCCGGCCUACCA
rnacentral:tRNA from 1 species